rnacentral:rRNA from 1 species
GAUCAUGGCUCAGGAUGAACGCUAGCUACAGGCUUAACACAUGCAAGUCGAGGGGCAGCAUGUUGGUUGCUUGCAACCAAUGAUGGCGACCGGCGCACGGGUGAGUAACGCGUAUACAACCUACCCUUGUCCAUCGGAUAACCCGUCGAAAGGCGGCCUAACACGAUAUGCGGUUCACAGCAGGCAUCUAACGUGAGCGAAAUGUAAAGGAGAAGGAUGGGGAUGCGU